rnacentral:rRNA from 1 species
GGAGAAUUGAGGGGGGCUGCUCCUAGUACGAGAGGACCGGAGUGGACGCAUCACUGGUGUUCGGGUUGUCAUGCCAAUGGCACUGCCCGGUAGCUAAAUGCGGAAGAGAUAAGUGCUGAAAGCAUCUAAGCACGAAACUUGCCCCGAGAUGAGUUCUCCCUGAGACUUAAAGUCUCCUGAAGGAACGUUGAAGACGACGACGUUGAUAGGUCGGGUGUGUAAGCGCAGCGAUGCGUUGAGCUAACCGAUACUAAUGAACCGUGAGGCUUAACCUUACAACGCCGAAG